GACGAACGCUGGCGGCGUGCUUAACACAUGCAAGUCGAGCGGUGAAGGGAUCAGCUUGCUGGUUCUGGAUGAGUGGCGAACGGGUGAGUAACACGUGAGUAACCUGCCCCCUUCUUCUGGAUAACCGCAUGAAAGUGUGGCUAAUACGGGAUAUUCUGCGCCUGCUGCAUGGUGGGUGUGGGAAAGAUAUUGUUUCGGUGGGGGAUGGGCUCGCGGCCUAUCAGCUUGUUGGUGGGGUGAUGGCCUACCAAGGCGGUGACGGGUAGCCGGCCUGAGAGGGGGGACGGUCACACUGGGACUGGGACACGGCCCAGACUCCUACGGGCGGCAGCAGUGGGGAAGAUUGCACAAUGGGCGCAAGCCUGAUGCAGCGACGCCGCGUGAGGGAUGGAGGCCUUCGGGGUGUGAACCUCUUUCGCCAGUGAAGCAGGCCUGUCCCUUGUGGGUGGGUUGACGGUAGCUGGAUAAGAAGCGCCGGCUAACUACGUG
rnacentral:rRNA from 1 species